GAGCCAUUUACAAAGCAUAAUGGGGCUCUCUUUGUUGAGAGGUGUUAGUCAGGAGGGGGUUACAAAAGAAUUUCCAAAUGAAGAACAAUGAAGUGAUCAACAAGUGAAGAAAAUGUGGCACAAUGGUGACAUUGCCAAGAACAGGAUGUCCUUCCAAAACUGAUGAGAAGACCAGGACAAAACUGGUCAGCCCUGCUGCCAAGAGGCUGACUUUGGAGCUAUAGGAAUUUCUAGUACCAGCGACCUGGCUCCCACCUCACCUGAAACCCCCUGGACCUCAGAUAGCAUGGGGCAUCUAGGCCAAGUUGAGCUCCAUCAUAAACACCAUCUGGUCACUUCAUCAAGUAAACCUUG